rnacentral:rRNA from 1 species
UACGUAGGUGGCAAGCGUUGUCCGGAAUUAUUGGGCGUAAAGCGCGCGCAGGUGGUUCCUUAAGUCUGAUGUGAAAGCCCACGGCUCAACCGUGGAGGGUCAUUGGAAACUGGGGAACUUGAGUGCAGAAGAGGAAAGUGGAAUUCCACGUGUAGCGGUGAAAUGCGUAGAGAUGUGGAGGAACACCAGUGGCGAAGGCGGGUCUCUGGACAGUUCCUGACGCUGAGGCACGAAGGUCAGGGGAGCAAACGGG